UACGGAGGGUGCAAGCGUUAUCCGGAUUCACUGGGUUUAAAGGGUGCGCAGGCGGGCUAUUAAGUCCGUGGUGAAAUCCCGGGGCUCAACCCCGGAACUGCCAUGGAUACUAUUAGUCUUGAAUGUUGUUGAGGUGGGCGGAAUAGGUCAUGUAGCGGUGAAAUGCUUAGAUAUGACAUAGAACACCAAUUGCGAAGGCAGCUCACUACACAAUCAUUGACUCUGAGGCACGAAAGCGUGGGGAUCAAACAGG
rnacentral:rRNA from 1 species